AUAUAUAUAUAUAUAAAGCCGAUGGUUGUGACAUUUAAUUUUCGAUUUGUUUCGGAGGUUUCAUAACGGUUGUUGGUGAUGACGGUGAUACAACUGGGUGGAAGUUUACUUCCUUUAAAAAAUAAGGGUCAGAACUUAGAAUCGAAACACUUCUUUGGUUGUGCCCUUUUGAGGCUACUUAAGAAAGAGAAUAGCAUUUUUUUCCAAGUUGCUCCACUUUAUUAUAAUAUUGUCUUGGUACAAAGGGUGAAACUUUAAUUUGGUUGUUGAAUGGUGCUCGUUGCAUUUUGUUCUAAUAUGGUUUGAAUAUCUGUUGUUGGUGGUUAUUGAUUAUUUAAAUGUAAAUGAUGCAGUUGUGGGUUAGAAUUAUGUGAUGAUAUUUAUUCUUUGCUUUCUGGAGACUGUUUGUAUGGAAAGAUAAUGUUUUUCAUUGGGCUCUGGAAUCUGAGUGGUGAUUGCAUUCUUUUAAGGUUGUUGAUGUAAUUUAGUGAAAAUAUAUUGCCCAAAUGAUAUUAUCGAAUUGUAGCUCAUUCAUUUGGAUUUGAAGUUGACUGUCUUUUUAGACAGUAAAAUAUUGUUGUAGAAUGAGUAUCUCCUUUUUACUGAAUGAUCAGAAUCUAUGGAACGAUUUAGUGUGAGGAAUUCUUAUUGAUUUUUUCCAUGAGAUUUAGUUUUGUGAAACUUUUACUCUGCUCUGUAGAAUGUUACAAGCGUAGCAUUUUUCUCUAGUAACAGAGGGAAUUGGUAAUUGUAUAGAGGC
rnacentral:lncRNA from 1 species